GAUGAACGCUGGCGGCGUGCCUAAUACAUGCAAGUCGAGCGAACAGACGAGGAGCUUGCUCCUCUAACGUUAGCGGCGGACGGGUGAGUAACACGUGGAUAACCUACCUAUAAGACUGGGAGAACUUCGGGAAACCGGAGCUAAUACCGGAUAAUAUAUUGAACCGCAUGGUUCAAUAGUGAAAGACGGCUUUGCUGUCACUUAUAGAUGGAUCCGCGCCGCAUUAGCUAGUUGGUAAGGUAACGGCUUACCAAGGCAACGAUGCGUAGCCGACCUGAGAGGGUGAUCGGCCACACUGGAACUGAGACACGGUCCAGACUCCUACGGGAGGCAGCAGUAGGGAAUCUUCCGCAAUGGGCGAAAGCCUGACGGAGCAACGCCGCGUGAGUGAUGAAGGUCUUCGGAUCGUAAAACUCUGUUAUUAGGGAAGAACAAAUGUGUAAGUAACUAUGCACGUCUUGACGGUACCUAAUCAGAAAGCCACGGCUAACUACGUG
rnacentral:rRNA from 1 species